rnacentral:rRNA from 1 species
CCCUGCCCUUUGUACACACCGCCCGUCGCUACUACCGAUUGAAUGGCUUAGUGAGGUCUCCGGAUUGGUUUUGGGGAACCGGCAACGGUACCCUAUUACUGAGAAGCUGAUCAAACUUGGUCAUUUAG